UGCUGGCAAGAAAUGGUGGGCUGAGUUUUUCACCCUAUGCCCCUAAUAAGAAUUGGGAAGUCCAGCUGUUCAUUGUAGAGUUUGAAGGUGUUGGACAUUCAGAAUGGGGUGGUAAUGAAGAUUAUGAUGGCAUCAAGGAAUUGACUGGCUUAAGAAGUGUGGCUGUUCUACUCUGCACAUUCCAAUAAACUGGUGGUUGAUGUCCUUGGUACUCUGGAUGUUUUCCUGGCCUUUGAAGUCUUCAGUUGAAACCUCAACCUGAAACAAAAUUGUCAACAUUAGUUAUAUUGUAUACUAUUUAAUAAAUCUUUUAAUGAA